rnacentral:rRNA from 1 species
GACGAACGCUGGCGGCGUGCUUAACACAUGCAAGUCGAGCGGUAAGGCCCUUUCGGGGGUACGACGAGCGGCGAACGGGUGAGUAACACGUGGGUGGACCUGCCUUUAGCUCUGGGAUAAGCCUGGGAAACUGGGUCUAAUACCGGAGUACGACUCCGCCGGUGCAUGCUGUGGGGUGGAAAGCCUUGUGCGGCUGGAGAUGGGCCCGCGGCCGUAUCAGCUUGUUGGUGGGGUGAUGGCCGUACCAAGGCGACGACGGGUAGCCGGCCUGAGAGGGCGACCGGCCACACUGGGACUGAGACACGGCCCAGACUCCGUACGGGAGGGCAGCAGUGGGGAAUCUUGCGC